rnacentral:rRNA from 1 species
UACGAAGGGGGCUAGCGUUGCUCGGAAUUACUGGGCGUAAAGGGCGCGUAGGCGGAUAUUUAAGUUGGGGGUGAAAUCCCGGGGCUCAACCUCGGAAUUGCCUUCAAAACUGGAUAUCUUGAGUUCGGGAGAGGUGAGUGGAACUCCGAGUGUAGAGGUGAAAUUCGUAGAUAUUCGGAAGAACACCAGUGGCGAAGGCGACUCUUUGGCCUGUAACUGACGCUGAGGCGCGAAAGCGUGGGGAGCAAACAGG